AUUGAACGCUGGCGGCAGGCCUAACACAUGCAAGUCGAACGAGUGGCGGACGGGUGAGUAAUGUCUGGGAAACUGCCCGAUGGAGGGGGAUAACUACUGGAAACGGUAGCUAAUACCGCAUACCAUCGGAUGUGCCCAGAGGGGAUUAGCUUGGAGGUGAGGUAACGGCUCAACUAGGCGACGAUCCCUAGCUGGUCUGAUAGGAUGACCAGCCACACUGGAACUGAGACACGGUCAACACGCCUACGGGAGGCAGCAGUGGGGAAUAUUGCGUAAUGGGGGCAAUCCUGAUGCAGCCAGGCCGCGUGUAUGAAGAAGGCCUUCGGUUGGUAAAGUACUUUCAGCGGGGAGGCGUUACCCGAAGAAGAAGCACCGGCUAACUCCGUGCCAGCAGCCGCGGUAAUAC
rnacentral:rRNA from 1 species